GGAUAUUUUCCUGACCCCUUCAUGAGACUUGUGACAGGGGUUCCUUGUUUACUCAGCCCUGCAGCUCUCAACGCCUUGCAGGAGGUAGCAUAGAAGCGAACAAGGCGGGAACUGGAGUGCCCAAGUGUUGGAACAAGCUGGCUGCUUCGGUGCUGGCAGGGGCAAACUCCAAUCACUGGGACCCGCUACAUUCCACCCCUCACGGAAGGGAGCACGCAGAACAAUUUAGAAAUUGAUCUGCAACUGAUGGAAGCUGGGAUGAAUUGGGCGCAUAAGUGAACCCAAAGCAUCAGAGCAAAGUCAAAGCGAACAUCUGGCUCCAGCUUUGAGUACAAGAGACUUGUGUUUCCAUGGAAUAAUCUUGGGAUCCAUGUGGAGUGCAAGAGAUUGGAACAGAAGGAGUUCUCAAAAAAUAAAAACUUCGGGCGGGUGCGGUGGCUCACGCCUGUAAUCCCAGGACUUUGGGAGGCCGAGGUGGGCGGAUCACGAGGU
rnacentral:lncRNA from 1 species